UACGAAGGGUGCAAGCGUUACUCGGAAUUACUGGGCGUAAAGCGUGCGUAGGCGGUUCGUUAAGUCUGUCGUGAAAGCCCUGGGCUCAACCUGGGAACUGCGAUGGAUACUGGCGAGCUAGAGUACGGUAGAGGAUGGUGGAAUUCCCGGUGUAGCGGUGAAAUGCGUAGAGAUCGGGAGGAACACCCGUGGCGAAGGCGGCCAUCUGGACCAGUACUGACGCUGAGGCACGAAAGCGUGGGGAGCAAACAGG
rnacentral:rRNA from 1 species